rnacentral:rRNA from 1 species
AGAGUUUGAUCAUGGCUCAGAAUCAACGCUGGCGGCGCGCUUAACACAUGCAAGUCGAACGAGAAAGGGGAGCAAUCCCUGAGUACAGUGGCGUACGGGUGAGUAACACGUGGAUGAUCUAUCUCUUAGUGGGGAAUAACCCUGGGAAACCGGGGAUAAUACCGCAUAAGCUCGAGAGAGGAAAGCAGCAAUGCGCUGAGAGAGGAGUCCGCGGCCGAUUAGCUAGUUGGUAGGGUAAGAGCCUACCAAGGCAGAGAUCGGUAGCCGGCCUGAGAGGGCACACGGCCACACUGGCACUGAAACACGGGCCAGACUCCUACGGGAGGCAGCAGUGGGGAAUCUUGCACAAUGGGGGAAACCCUGAUGCAGCGACGCCGCGUGAGCGAUGAAGCCCUUCGGGGUGUAAAGCUCUUUCGGCAGGGAAGAUAAUGACGGUACCUGCAGAAGCAGCUGCGGCUAACUACGUGCCAGCAGCCGCGGUAAUACGUAGGCAGCGAGCGUUGUUCGGAGUUACUGGGCGUAAAGGGUGUGUAGGCGGUUGUUUAAGUUUGGUGUGAAAUCUCCCGGCUCAACUGGGAGGGUGCGCCGAAUACUGAAUGACUUGGAGUGCGGGAGAGGAGAGUGGAAUUCCUGGUGUAGCGGUGAAAUGCGUAGAUAUCAGGAGGAACACCGGUGGUGUAGACGGCUCUCUGGACCGUAACUGACGCUGAGACACGAAAGCGUGGGUAGCAAACAGGAUUAGAUACCCUAGUAGUCC